rnacentral:miRNA from 10 species
AGGCUGAUGGUUUCUGCACAGGGU